UUCUUUUCUGCACUAACUUUUAUCAUUAUUAUUCAUAACUAAAAUAUGGUAGGUCAUGCAACACAGCUAGUCUCUAGAUUUAUUUACCUCGUGUGAUAAUUAUAUUGUUUUCAAUUGUCAGUUAACAUAGUUGAUAGAUUAUCUGUAGGAUAAGAGUUAUAUGUUAAAUAAUGAUUUCAAUCUUUAAUUAUAUAUAUAUUUUGGUGUAAUAAUUGAAUGGAUAAUAAUUGAAAGAUUCUGCAAAGGAAUAUGUCCAGAAGCUCUACAUCGCAUGUUGCCAUUACCAAUCCACAGUCUUCAGAGUAGUACCUCGAACCAUGAGUGAUCUAAUACAAUUCAUCGGCUCAAGUAGAAACCUUUUGAUCUGCAACUUUCAUUCCUCAUAAUUAAUUACCAACUCAGUUGCUUACCAAAGAGCAGCCUUUAGAAAUUAGCCGGUACUGCAAAAGGGUUUAACUAAUAUUAAACAGAGUUCCAUUAGUGAAAAUACCACUGGAAAAAAAGAACUCCUAUGAUCAAUUCUAAAAUUGAUACAAUUAAUAAUUCCUUUUAUCUUUUGAAGUAGUUACUGUUAUUCAUGAAAAAAUUCAACUUGAAUAAGAUAUAUAUGCAUUUGUGCUUAGGCACAAUAAACCAUUUAAUGUUUUCUCUUUUCCAAAAACAAUUAUAUAUAUAAUACAUUAUUGUUUACAUUUGUAACCUCAAUCUUACAUGAUGUAAGUAAGUUUCAUGAACAAAUGUAUUGAAAUGGUAUAAUAAAAUGAAAUAAGCAAAUAA